UACGUAGGGCGCAAGCGUUGUCCGGAAUUAUUGGGCGUAAAGAGCUCGUAGGCGGUUUGUCGCGUCUGCCGUGAAAGUCCGGGGCUCAACUCCGGAUCUGCGGUGGGUACGGGGCAGACUAGAGUGAUGUAGGGGAGACUGGAAUUCCUGGUGUAGCGGUGAAAUGCGCAGAUAUCAGGAGGAACACCGAUGGCGAAGGCAGGUCUCUGGGCAUUAACUGACGCUGAGGAGCGAAAGCGUGGGGAGCAAACAGG
rnacentral:rRNA from 1 species